rnacentral:rRNA from 1 species
GGGGAAUAUUGGACAAUGGGCGCAAGCCUGAUCCAGCCAUGCCGCGUGGGUGAAGAAGGCCUUCGGGUUGUAAAGCCCUUUUGUUGGGAAAGAAAAGCAGCCGGCCAAUACCCGGUUGUUCUGACGGUACCCAAAGAAUAAGCACCGGCUAACUUCGUGCCAGCAGCCGCGGUAAUACGAAGGGUGCAAGCGUUACUCGGAAUUACUGGGCGUAAAGCGUACGUAGGUGGUGGUUUAAGUCCGUUGUGAAAGCCCUGGGCUCAACCUGGGAACUGCAGUGGAUACUGGAUCACUAGAGUGUGGCAGAGGGUACUGGAAUUCCCGGUGUAGCACUGAAAUGCGUAGAGAUCGGGAGGAACAUCAGUGGCGAAGGCAAUCCCCUGGGCCUGCACUGACGCUCAUGAACGAAAGCGUGAGGAGCAAACA